GUCUACAAACAACCGGGGAAGUUAAGUUCGCGAGAUGUCCCGGAUAAUCUGAACAUCUGUAGGGCGUAUCGACAGCUUGCAUGACAACUUCGAAUCAUCCGCGCACAGUCUAAGAGAUCUAGAUACGCUUGCAGGAAGCCGAGCAAAACGGUCAACUAUGACGUUCGUCCGCCGGUAGCUUCGACUAUUUGUAUUUCGCCCAACAUAUAGAGCGGAGCGAAUCCAGCCUACUUGGUUCUUGGAUGUGCCUGCACUAUUGCUUUCUUCAGAACUUCUUGUCAAGGUGGAAUCUUCUCUUGUUUGGAGGUGCUGGACGAGGUCAAAGUGACGAUGAUUAUGGCGGUUUCCGGUCAUUUUGACUCGCGAUGUAGUCGUACAAGGUGAAGCCACAAUGGUCAAGAAGUGCCUCUUGUUGUCACUGGGUGCUAACUGGCAGUCUCACACAGAUCAAUAUCUCUCCUAUGCUAUGGGCAUCUGAUUGCUGUAAUUACAAUUGCGUAUCGUACUAGUUUGUUGCAAUAGCGGUUUGCGCAUACUGUACAUGUCUUAGAAAUAUUCAAGCACAGUAACUGAUGUACGUAGCUAGUCUAGGCCGUACGUACGUACCGUCGACAUCCAUGUUUGUGUGACUGGUUAAAUACC